rnacentral:rRNA from 1 species
UUCUUGNAUAUUAAAAAAAAACAAUUAAAUUUUAAUUGUUAAAUUUUAAAUACAGGUGUUGCAUGGCUGUCUUUAGUUCGUGUUGUGAAAUGUUAGGUUAAUUCCGAUAACGAACGCAAACCUUUUUAAUUAAUUAUAAUAAUAUAUAUAUAUAUAUUAUUAAUAUAAUAAUAUAUCUUUCUAUAUGAAGGAGUAAUUAGGAUGAAGACAAGUCCUCAUGACCCUAAUGAAGUGGGCUACAGACGUGCCACAAAGAUUUUUACAAAGGGAUGCAAAGAUGAAAAUUCGAGCUAAUCCUUAAAGAAAAUCUUAGAACAGAUAAGAAUCUGAAACUC